rnacentral:lncRNA from 1 species
GCCAAGGGCCUCUUAUGCAAACAAAACAAUAGGCUGGGCAUAGACCUCUUACGCAAAGCUGGGCAUCGGCCUCUUACGCAAACAAAACAAUAGUCCAAUGAUUAUAUCUGAAUUUUUCUUUUACUUCCCAGUUCCAAAAAUUUCAAUGUAAUUUAAGUGUCUCAUUUGGAAGGAUAAUAAGUACUAUUCCCAUAAAGCAUUCAUUAAUCGUUCCAAUUCAAGUUUUAGGAAAGACUUUUUCCCAAGGUACAAGUGUUAAAUAAAAGCAGUAUUCAUAGAGAAAGAUGGGUUAGAUAUACUUGCUUUUAAAUAAAGAAGUAGCAUAGGAAUACUUGCAGUAAUUUCAAGUUAAGAAUAGAAUUACUCGCAAGAAAGCUUGAGAGAAAUUAAUCUAUCAAUAUCAUGAUUGAACAAAAUAUCUCACUUGAACAAUAAGUGAAGAGUUAUAGUACUUGCCUCAGUUCUGCUGAUUUUCACACCAAUUAAUUUCUACCGGACUAUCUCACAGCACAGCUUCGUCUUAAGGAACUAUUCCUGAUUAAAUUCACAAAGCUAUUCAACUACUUCUGAAUGUCCUUGAUAUACAAGUCUCGGUUGAUUCUCCACGAGUAACACGGUACUUCGGUUGUCGAUGCCGACGGAGUUAACUAAUAUCGAAUAACGUAUAAAAUCCGUAAUUAGCUACCCUUCGUAAAUCCAUAUACAUACCACAUAGUCAGAUAAACACAUAGCACAUAGUUGAACAUGUCCUAUGUUAUUGCUAAUUGUAUACAACAAAAUGGUGCAAAACAUAUUUUGGAUUAUGCUUAUCUUGCAAAUUUUUCAACCCGAUCAACCCUACCCUAACCAACCCAACCCGUCAUACAAUUAGUAGGGUUGGGUUUCUAAUUCUUUUUAUGAUUAAUGGGUUAAAUUUUUCUAACCCGUACUACAUGGGUUGGGUAGCUUGAAUGGCCGAAACCGGCCCAACCCAGCCCAUGUGCAGCCCUAGCCUCUUAUGCAAACAAAACAAUAGGCUGGGCAUAGACCUCUUACGCAAAGCUGGGCAUCGGCCUCUUACGCAAACAAAACAAUAGUCCAAUGAUUAUAUCUGAAUUUUUCUUUUACUUCCCAGUUUCAAAAAAUUUCAAUGUAAUUUAAGUGUCUCCUUUGGAAGGAUAAUAAGUACUAUUCCCAUAAAGCAUUCAUUAAUCGUUCCAAUUCAAGUUUUAGGAAAGACUUUUUCCCAAGGUACAAGUGUUAAAUAAAAGCAGUAUUCAUAGAGAAAGAUUGGUUAGAUAUACUUGCUUUUAAAUAAAGAAGUAGCAUAGGAAUACUUGCAGUAAUUUCAAGUUGAGAAUAGAGUUACUCGCAAGAAAGCUUGAGAGAAAUUAAUCUAUCAAUAUCAUGAUUGAACAAAAUAUCUCACUUGAACAAUAAGUGAAGAGUUAUAGUACUUGCCUCAGUUCUGCUGAUUUUCACACCAAUUAAUUUCUAUCGGACUAUCUCACAGCACAGCUUCAUCUUAAGGAACUAUUCCUGAUUCCAUUCACAAAGCUAUUCAACUACGUCUGAAUGUCCUUGAUAUACAAGUCUCAGUUGAUUCUCCACGAGUAACACGGUACUUCGGCUGUCGAUGCCGACGGAGUUAACUAAUAUCGAAUAGCGUAUAAAAUCUGUAAUUAGCUACCCUUCGUAAAUCCAUAUACAUACCACAUAGUCAGAUAAACACAUAGCACAUAGUUGAACAAUUAACUUUUAUAACUAUUAACAGUCAAUAUUGAUAAGUUAACAAAUAACAUGUUCCAAUCAACCAUGUCGCCUUAUUCUUAACUAUUUAAUAUCUUUUAACAAAUAAACAUAUAUAAAUUCUAAUGAAAAUCCGGCAGCACCUCCUCUAUUUAUAGGACUAUCCACCUGUUUUCUUAUACUACUCAACAAAUAAUCAACCCAAUCCAACUCAAUAAACCAAUCAAAUAACAUUAACCAUUACUCAUUGACUGAAUUUAAAUAAUUAGCAAAUUCUGAAAUCAUAGCUAAAUUAUAAGUCAUAAUUCAACUUUUUAACAGAAUAUUU